UACGUAGGGACCGAGCGUUGUCCGGAAUCAUUGGGCGUAAAGGGUGCGUAGGUGGCGCGGUAAGUCGGGUGUGAAAUCUCGGAGCUUAACUCCGAAAUUGCAUUCGAUACUGCCGUGCUUGAGGACUGGAGAGGAGACUGGAAUUCAUGGUGUAGCAGUGAAAUGCGUAGAGAUCAUGAGGAAGACCAGUGGCGAAGGCGG
rnacentral:rRNA from 1 species